GAUACAACUGGUCGCAGCCCUAAGGUUUUUAUUCUUGAAUGCUGAUAUACACAUAAAAGUCACAAAUGUGGCUGAAUAAGUUUGAUGCUUAAGUGGAAAUUUCUUCAUCGUAUUAAAGCUAUGCUCAUUGUUGGUUAUAUAUUUUGAGCAUUCCAUUGGAAAUUUAAUUGACUGUUCUGUUAUUUUUACUAAUGGAAAUUUGGAAUGCUGCGUAAUUAGAAUUGAGUGAGGGAUGGUGAGUGUGUACUGUAUAAAGACAUCAGAAGAACGAAAGGAAUAUCUCCUUUUAUUUGGCCUCUACUUUUCCAUAUUCUUACAAUAAUCGUUGACAUUUCAUAUGAAAGGUUUUUUUUUUAAUUUUUUUUAAUUAUUUUUUUUAAACAAUGUUGUGCAUUGAUCUUCUCAUUUUUCAAGCUCUCACUAAGUCACUGUGGUUCCCAAUUUAGGCAUAUAAUGGACAUUAUGUUUUGUCUGUAUUUUUGUUUCACCACUUCUAUAUUAAAUUUUUUGUGUCUUUGCAAUCCCAUAUUCAUUUUUACUACUAAUAUCUUUCAGGCACAUGAUAAUGGCAUUUUUUUUAAUUAUUUUUUAUAUAGAUUUCUUGGUUGAAGCAACAUU
rnacentral:misc_RNA from 1 species